rnacentral:tRNA from 1 species
GGAGAGAUGGCUGAGUGGCCGAAAGCGGCGGUUUGCUAAACCGUUGUACGAGUAAAAUCGUACCGGGGGUUCGAAUCCCCCUCUCUCCGCCA